rnacentral:sRNA from 1 species
AUUUAGCCCUGAUGGAAGCGGCAUCCCCGUAACGAAGUGGAGGGAUACAGCGGACAGCAGGAAAUAGC